CUCCAUGCUGUCCCCCCUCUAUCAGGACCAUGGCGGCUCGGUGGUGUGGCCCCAGACUUCGUCCUGCUCCUCCUCCUCUCAGGGCCUCCAACGGCCGCUACGCUGCCACCCUCCCCCAAUCAGUGGGAGCAGCGUGGGCCCCAACCCUACCUACUAUCAUGCUGUUUAUGACGUCCGGGUGGAGCAGUACAGAGAAGUGCCCUUCAUUGGUGGAGGUGGUGGCUACGGGGUGCGCUCUGGCCGAGGCCCCUUGUCCCUGGUUACCAGCAGCAAUGACCCCACAGUCCCGCUAAUCCGCCGGAGGGGAGGACUGGUGGACCACCGGGAUGUCAUCUUGGCCCACCAGGCACACAAGCUGCACAACACACCACAGGCCAGGAGGAAACAAUGGGAACCGAGAAGACUAAUUCAGAAGUUCAGGAUGAGGCAUCCAAUAUUUGAUGAAAGUAUAAUGGAACUCGUCUUAAACCAAAUCUGUACAUCACUGUCUCUCAAAAACCCAUCAUGCUGCUUGCCAUAUUAUAGGAAAAUUACACCUUUCACCAAACAGAUCCAAAUCUUCCUGAAGAAUACCAAGCAUACAUGCAGUUUAGGAAACGAUUAAAAGUAAUUUUUAACUAACCAUAUUUACUGAUUUGUAUUGAUUGAUUGUACAGAUUUGAAGUGCUGUAAAGAAUUUUCUGAGAGAAUAAGCUGGCUGAGUUUUGAGUGAGUCUUUUAGACAAUUUAAGAUUUUGUCAUUUGAUUUGAUUUAGUGUAAAAUUCCUGAUGGUUUAGUAUUUUAUUGUCUGAUUUGUACCACUUCACACAUAAAGAGCAGUAUUAUGACUGUGUACUAUGGCAUAUGAUGCCAGUCUAAACACUUAUGUCCCAAGUUAACUUCCUCCCUUAUAUCUAUGAAGCUUGUCCUGCUAAGACAGAAAAGGACAAACAAAUAUACCAACCCAGAUUCAGCUUCCUCUCACUCACACACACACACACACACACACACACACACACACACACACACACACACACACACACACACACACACACACACACAGGGGUGAUGGAGAAGCAGGGAAAGGAACAGAAAAAUGGAAAUGUCAAAAGAGAAAGCACAGAAAGAGCAGGGACAGUGACAUGGAGGGAGAGUGAUGGUGGGACUAAAAUGAAAGGCAGCUUCUAGGAAGGGAAACAGAUGGGUGAGAGACAUAAGCAGAUGAAGCUGAAUGAUUAAGAACGAGGGAGAAUUGUAUGUGGGCAAUGAAGGAGGGGCGAGUGGGACAGGAUGGAGUGAAAUGUGAUGUGAGAUCAUAGGAGGCAAAGUGUGAAUCGGAAAAAAAACAACUGGGG
rnacentral:lncRNA from 15 species